GGGUUGUGAGGUUAAGCGACUAAGCGUACACGGUGGAUGCCCUGGCAGUCAGAGGCGAUGAAGGACGUGCUAAUCUGCGAAAAGCGUCGGUAAGGUGAUAUGAACCGUUAUAGCCGGCGAUGUCCGAAUGGGGAAACCCAGUGCAAUUCGUUGCACUAUCGUUAACUGAAUACAUAGGUUAACGAGGCGAACCGGGGGAACUGAAACAUCUAAGUACCCCGAGGAAAAGAAAUCAACCGAGAUUCCCCCAGUAGCGGCGAGCGAACGGGGAGCAGCCCAGAGUCUGAAUCAGCUUGUGUGUUAGUGGAACGGUCUGGAAAGUCCGACGGUACAGGGUGAUAGUCCCGUACACCAAAAUGCACAGGUUGUGAACUCGAAGAGUAGGGCGGGACACGUGGUAUCCUGUCUGAAUAUGGGGGGACCAUCCUCCAAGGCUAAAUACUCCUGACUGACCGAUAGUGAACCAGUACCGUGAGGGAAAGGCGAAAAGAACCCCGGCGAGGGGAGUGAAAAAGAACCUGAAACCGUGUACGUACAAGCAGUGGGAGCACCUUCGGGUGUGACUGCGUACCUUUUGUAUAAUGGGUCAGCGACUUAUAUUCUGUAGCAAGGUUAACCGUAUAGGGGAGCCGCAGGGAAACCGAGUCUUAACUGGGCGUUAAGUUGCAGGGUAUAGACCCGAAACCCGGUGAUCUAGCCAUGGGCAGGUUGAAGGUUGGGUAACACUAACUGGAGGACCGAACCGACUAAUGUUGAAAAAUUAGCGGAUGACUUGUGGCUGGGGGUGAAAGGCCAAUCAAACCGGGAGAUAGCUGGUUCUCCCCGAAAGCUAUUUAGGUAGCGCCUCGUGAACUCAUCUUCGGGGGUAGAGCACUGUUUCGGCUAGGGGGUCAUCCCGACUUACCAACCCGAUGCAAACUACGAAUACCGAAGAAUGUUAUCACGGGAGACACACGGCGGGUGCUAACGUCCGUCGUGAAGAGGGAAACAACCCAGACCGCCAGCUAAGGUCCCAAAGUCAUGGUUAAGUGGGAAACGAUGUGGGAAGGCACAGACAGCCAGGAUGUUGGCUUAGAAGCAGCCAUCAUUUAAAGAAAGCGUAAUAGCUCACUGGUCGAGUCGGCCUGCGCGGAAGAUGUAACGGGGCUAAACCAUGCACCGAAGCUGCGGCAGCGACACUAAGUGUUGUUGGGUAGGGGAGCGUUCUGUAAGCCUGCGAAGGUGGCCUGUGAGGGCUGCUGGAGGUAUCAGAAGUGCGAAUGCUGACAUAAGUAACGAUAAAGCGGGUGAAAAGCCCGCUCGCCGGAAGACCAAGGGUUCCUGUCCAACGUUAAUCGGGGCAGGGUGAGUCGACCCCUAAGGCGAGGCCGAAAGGCGUAGUCGAUGGGAAACAGGUUAAUAUUCCUGUACUUGGUGUUACUGCGAAGGGGGGACGGAGAAGGCUAUGUUAGCCGGGCGACGGUUGUCCCGGUUUAAGCAUGUAGGCGGAGGUUCCAGGUAAAUCCGGUACCUUUUAACGCUGAGAUGUGAUGACGAGGCACUACGGUGCUGAAGUAACAAAUGCCCUGCUUCCAGGAAAAGCCUCUAAGCAUCAGGUAACAUCAAAUCGUACCCCAAACCGACACAGGUGGUCAGGUAGAGAAUACCAAGGCGCUUGAGAGAACUCGGGUGAAGGAACUAGGCAAAAUGGUGCCGUAACUUCGGGAGAAGGCACGCUGGUGUGUAGGUGAAGUCCCUGCGGAUGGAGCUGAGACCAGUCGAAGAUACCAGCUGGCUGCAACUGUUUAUUAAAAACACAGCACUGUGCAAACACGAAAGUGGACGUAUACGGUGUGACGCCUGCCCGGUGCCGGAAGGUUAAUUGAUGGGGUUAUCCGUAAGGAGAAGCUCUUGAUCGAAGCCCCGGUAAACGGCGGCCGUAACUAUAACGGUCCUAAGGUAGCGAAAUUCCUUGUCGGGUAAGUUCCGACCUGCACGAAUGGCGUAAUGAUGGCCAGGCUGUCUCCACCCGAGACUCAGUGAAAUUGAACUCGCUGUGAAGAUGCAGUGUACCCGCGGCAAGACGGAAAGACCCCGUGAACCUUUACUAUAGCUUGACACUGAACAUUGAGCCUUGAUGUGUAGGAUAGGUGGGAGGCUUUGAAGCGUGGACGCCAGUCUGCGUGGAGCCAACCUUGAAAUACCACCCUUUAAUGUUUGAUGUUCUAACGUUGGCCCCUAAUCGGGGUUGCGGACAGUGUCUGGUGGGUAGUUUGACUGGGGCGGUCUCCUCCCAAAGAGUAACGGAGGAGCACGAAGGUUAGCUAAUCCUGGUCGGACAUCAGGAGGUUAGUGCAAUGGCAUAAGCUAGCUUGACUGCGAGCGUGACGGCGCGAGCAGGUGCGAAAGCAGGUCAUAGUGAUCCGGUGGUUCUGAAUGGAAGGGCCAUCGCUCAACGGAUAAAAGGUACUCCGGGGAUAACAGGCUGAUACCGCCCAAGAGUUCAUAUCGACGGCGGUGUUUGGCACCUCGAU
rnacentral:rRNA from 1 species